ACGGAGAGUUUGAUUCUGGCUCAGAACGAACGCUGGCGGCGUGGAUAAGACAUGCAAGUCGAACGGGACUUUUUCCUGUAGCAAUACAGGGAAAAGUCUAGUGGCGAACGGGUGCGUAACACGUGAGCAAUCUGCCGAGAAGUGGGGGAUAGCUCGCCGAAAGGCGAAUUAAUACCGCAUGUGGCCAAGGAAGACAUCUUCCUGACGCCAAAGCCGGGGCAACCUGGCGCUUCCCGAUGAGCUCGCGGCCUAUCAGCUAGUUGGUGAGGUAAUAGCUCACCAAGGCUAUGACGGGUAGCUGGUCUGAGAGGACGACCAGCCACACUGGAACUGAGACACGGUCCAGACACCUACGG
rnacentral:rRNA from 1 species